rnacentral:tRNA from 1 species
GGGAUAUAGACAGACUGGCUAUGUAAUUGAUUGCAGAUCAAAGUAAUGAGGUUCGAAUCCUUAAUAUCCCU